GAUUAACGCGAAGAACCUUACCUACCCUUGACAUGGUCGGAAUCCCGCUGAGAGGUGGGAGUGCUCGAAAGAGAACCGGCGCACAGGUGCUGCAUGGCUGUCGUCAGCUCGUGUCGUGAGAUGUUGGGUUAAGUCCCGCAACGAGCGCAACCCUUGUCCUUAGUUGCUACGCAAGAGCACUCUAAGGAGACUGCCGGUGACAAACCGGAGGAAGGUGGGGAUGACGUCAAGUCCUCAUGGCCCUUAUGGGUAGGGCUUCACACGUCAUACAAUGGUCGGAACAGAGGGUUGCCAACCCGCGAGGGGGAGCUAAUCCCAGUAAACCGAUCGUAGUCCGGAUUGCACUCUGCAACUCGAGUGCAUGAAGCUGGAAUCGCUAGUAAUCGCGGAUCAGCAUGCUGCGGUGAAUACGUUCCCGGGCCUUGUACACACCGAAUC
rnacentral:rRNA from 1 species